rnacentral:lncRNA from 1 species
GCAGAUCGAUGAUUAAGAAUCAUCCGAGGGUAAAAUCAUCAAUACGAUUAAUGAUUAACCCUGUGCAAUAGUUGCAAUAACAUUAUUCACUAAGUGUUAGUGAAAUAUAGGAGGAUUAGUUAGUGAUUAGAUCGCUGAUCAAUUCAAUUUGAUUGAGUAUUAAAGUUUGAAUCAAGUCUAAUUGAAUUGGAUUCAAUUAGAUCAAAUCGGAUUAG